rnacentral:rRNA from 1 species
UAGGGAAUCUUCGGCAAUGGACGGAAGUCUGACCGAGCAACGCCGCGUGAGUGAAGAAGGUUUUCGGAUCGUAAAGCUCUGUUGUUAGAGAAGAACGUUGGUAGGAGUGGAAAAUCUACCAAGUGACGGUAACUAACCAGAAAGGGACGGCUAACUACGUGCCAGCAGCCGCGGUAAUACGUAGGUCCCGAGCGUUGUCCGGAUUUAUUGGGCGUAAAGCGAGCGCAGGCGGUUCUUUAAGUCUGAAGUUAAAGGCAGUGGCUUAACCAUUGUACGCUUUGGAAACUGGAGGACUUGAGUGCAGAAGGGGGGAGUGGAAUUCCAUGUGUAGCGGUGAAAUGCGUAGAUAUAUGGAGGAACGCCGGUGGCGAAAGCGGCUCUCUGGUCUGUAACUGACGCUGAGGCUCGAAAGCGUGGGGAGCAAACAGG